rnacentral:tRNA from 1 species
AGUUUAGUGAUAAAACUACAGCCUUCCAAGCUGUAGUCGCGGGUCCGAUUCCCGUC